rnacentral:rRNA from 1 species
AUGCAGUCGAGCGGGUGGCAACACCAGCGGCGGACGGGUGAGUAAUGCGUAGGUAUCUGCCUUCAGGUGGGGAAUAACCCGACUAACGUCGGGCUAAUGCCGCAUGUGGCCUAAGGGCAAAGCAGCAAUGCGCCUGGAGAUGAGCCUGCGUCCCAUUAUUUAAUCCUAGUUGGCGGGGUAACGGCCCACCAAGGGUACGAUGGGUAGCUGGUCUGAGAGGACGAUCAGCCACACUGGGACUGAGACACGGCCCAGACUCCUACGGGAGGCAGCAGUGGGGAAUAUUGCGCAAUGGGGGAAACCCUGACGCAGCCAAUCCGCGUGAGUGAUGAAGGCCUUCGGGUUGUAAAGCUCUGUCGUAGGGGACGAAGAAAUGACGGUACCCUACAAGAAAGCACCGGCUAACCCCGUGCCAGCAGCCGCGGUAAUACGGGGGGUGCAAGCGUUGCUCGGAAUCACUGGGCGUAAAGCGUCCGCAGGCGGGCGCGCAGGUCGGUCGUGAAAGCCCGGGGCUCAACCCCGGAACUGCGAUCGAAACCGCGUGCCUUGAGUACGGGAGAGGGGGGUGGAAUUCCUGGUGUAGAGGUGAAAUUCGUAGAUAUCAGGAGGAACACCGGUGGCGAAAGCGGCCCCCUGGCCCGAGAC